rnacentral:misc_RNA from 1 species
UAAUAAUAGUGAUAAUCAUCAAAAUCAUCAUCAUGGAAGUAGCAUUGAAGUGGCAGAAGGGGAGGGAAGAAAUGGAAAUGGAAAUGGAAAUGGAAAUGGGAAUGGGAAUGGGAAUGGGAGAAGGUUUUCAUUUCCAUGGCCUUUCAAUAGUUUGUUCUCCUCUUCCUCUGGAUCACAAUCCAGUGGAAGCAAUUCGAGCUCAACCUCAUUGGCAAAUGCUACUGGAAGUGCUUCUCAAACAGAUGAGAAUUGAGUUUGAUUUUCUUACUACCUUCAUGUUCUCUAAGUUGCUUGAAUGUGUGUUGCUUGUUUAUGUACAUAGUAUGUUACUAUUUAAGCCUGAAUCUUUGAACAAAAGAUUGUGUUUUGAGCUGCCAGCCUUUUUUAUUUAUUUAUUUUGCAAGAAGAAAUAUCAGCUCCUUCUAUUUCAAAAAAAAAA